CCUGCACAAAUUUGCUUGCUGGCAACCAUGUGAGAUGGGACUUGCUCCUCCUUGACUUCUGCCAUGACUGUGAGGCUUUCCCAGCCAUGCGGAACUCUUCUUUCAUGGAAAUUUUCCCCCAACAGGGAUUUCCCUGCAGUGGACCUCCUCCCCAGUGGUACCUUCAGCCAUCAGAACACCUCGCUUUAGAUCUGUGGGUCCCAAAUUUCAUCAAAUCCAAUGCCCAUUUCUAUGAUCACUCAUUCUGGGGGCAGCCCUCUGGCAUGUAAUGAGCAGUCCUAUGGAGAAGCCCAUGUGACAGUAGCCAUGCAAGUGACACUGGAAGUGAAGUCUGCAACUCCAGUCAAGCCUUUAGAAGACUGCAGCCCUGGCUGACAGCUUCACAGCAAACUCGUGAGAGACCCUCAGCUUGAACAAUGCA
rnacentral:lncRNA from 1 species